UGUCCGUGUGGGAGUCCGCAUCUGUGGAAGCUCGUGGGCGGACUGACACCCUCAUGCUCACCCUGGCUCCCUCUGCUCAUCCCGGCUGUAGGAAGCGACCCGGGAGAGCCCAUUCCAACUGUCUGGAGCUGACCCAGCGGGGUUGGCCGGAUGGCCUUCCUCCCGUUCUUGUCCCUUCCAUGUCCCCCUUGCCCCGUGGACCUUCUGGUGGAGUGGGUUCCAUUCUUGCGCCCUGAGGCCACUUUUUUGUUCCUGGGAUCCCUUGGCAUGGCAGAUGGGUAUGGUGAGAUGACCCCCCAGAAUGUUGCAGUGGAAGAAUAUACAGUACAUAGGGUUGGAUAAAGAGAGCGAAAAAUUGAGGUUUUGAGCAAGAGUGACUGGAAGGAUGGGAUGAUGGUGGCCUUCUAAGAAAUGUGGAGCCGGCCUUGGGGCUAGAGGAUGGUCAGGGAAGGGUGUACAGGGAAGUGGAUCAGACGGCAAAGAUAAACAUGGUGUUCUUUCACCGUACUCUCCACUGGGCUGUCCCUGGUUACCAGGGCAACAGAAGCAGUGAUGAAAAUCAUGCCUUUCGUUCAGUGGAAAAAUCUGGCUCCUCCUCCCGCCUCUUCCUUCUCUAAUCGCGUGCAACCUAUCGGAAGAGUGAUGGCUCCAGGGAUCAGAGACCCCAGUGUGUUCAUAUCAGGCCCCCUCCUUCCCCAUUUUUGGUCAUCUUUCCCUUUCCUGUGUUCCCCAUCUCCCCCAGAGCUCAAUAAUUGGCAGUUGCGGAGGAGUUGGACUGGAUGGAGGGGGAAGGGCAUGGACGUCAUUGCAGGGCAGGGUGAGCAGAGCGCGUGGGCAGAGAUGUGGAUGCAGGAAUGACUGGCACACGAGGAGGGUCAGGCAUUGAUUAGCUGGAUGGAGCUCGUGCCUGGGAUGGUAGGAGCUGGGGGCAGGAGGAUGGGGGCAAUGAUGGAAGGCCUGGAGAGUGUGGCGGUCUGGGUGCGCAGUGGUGGUAGGAAAUGGGAAGGCCCUGAGGUUUCUGGUGUGGCCGUGGCUCCCGAGGAAAGCUCGGACUCAUUCAUUCAGGGCUUUUUUGGGCCUCCCGUGUGAGGUAAGGUUCUGGGAACUCGGAAGACACAGGAGACUGGCAAUAUUCCAGACUGGAAGUGAUAGAUUAAGGUGGAGCCUGCGAGAAAGUGGAGGAAGAGGUAGUUCGCAGAGCCCUCUUGGCUUGGGCACAGGACACGGGCAAGAGAAGAUGCUGAUGUUUUGAGCCUUCGUGGUUGACAGAAGUAGCAAAAUCAAGGUUCAGACUUGCUUGGGGGAGUCAUGUUUGAUUUGCCUUUGGACACACUGCCCAAGACAACAGCAGGGUGUCUGAGCAGAAAUAUUUAUGGUCAGGCAGAGAGAAUUUGCGGUGGAAAUCCGUUCUGGGAAGAGAGUUGGAGGAAACCAUAUUAUUACGGAGCUUUGAAGGCGUGAGGCUGCUGAGAAGGUGUGGAGAGAGAGAUCCCAGGGCCCGGGACAUGGGCCUCGGGCUGGGUGAGGCUCUGAGCCUGGCACUUGUUUCUUACUAGGGCCCGCCCAGACUGCUGGACCAGAUUUCUGCUAAUGAACGCCCACGUCUCCUACCAGACCACACCCUUUUUUGAAGUUCAGGUUUCUGUUUGAGUUUUCCUCUCCCUGGUAACUAUGUCCAGAAGGAUAUGUCCUGGAAAGAUAGACACGUAUGCUCACCUCUCCGAGCUCUCUCCUUGACCUUUGCUCUACCAUCCGCUUAUAAAUUCCUGAGAGGCCCUGCCCUGUACUACAGAGAUGCGCCAUAUGCCUUCGGCCCCCACCAGCAAGGCUGUUCUUUCUGGCUCAUUUCCAGUCACCACUGCAGGAAUAAGAGGGCUCGACGGAGGCCUUUGCUGGCAGCAUGAUCAUGAGCACAUCACUUCCUUUUGCAGGCUAUAGGCCUAGUCUAAGGGUCUAGUUUCUUCCAGCUCUGAAGACUUCAGAUAGGACGUCCAGUUUUUUCCCUGCGUUUGCCC
ensembl:lncRNA